UAACUGCUGACCCUCGCUCCCAGAAUUCCAGGCUCCACCCGGGAAUCCUAGUCACUCGCCAGCAAGCUGGGCACGAUGCGGGCAAGGUCGCAAUGCAGAAAAACCCCGGAGAGCUCAGCUCAGCUCACUGAGGCAUCAGUGAGCCCACAAGAGAGCCCCAGACUCCAAGAAGCUCCAAAGCUGAAAACUCCAGUCGGAUGGUUCAGAGCUCCACGUCGAAGUCUCCCCAAGGCGCCAUCCUCCAAAGAAGAGGAUCCAGGGAGAAGCCCCCUGGACAGGAAGUUCAGGACUUUUAUAGUCCUUUUCCCACGUCCCUUCCUGUCCCUUCCCCACUUUACAGGGACCAAUUGCAGUCUUUUAACUUCAAUUUCAAGGAGGGGGAGGGCAGUGGCCCCACUCUAGCAGGUGACUUGUGAACUCUCCUACUUGGUGACUGCUAAGGUACUAAGUAGGGGUACCUACUGUGUUUUGGAUUGACUUAAAAGUUGCUGAUUGAUGGGCAAGUUUGAUUCCCUCUUCACAAAAGGAAAGCGAGUGAGCUAUAAGGGCUUCCACCUCUCAUCCGGAAAGAAAGACAACAAAACCAUUGGGAGAAGAGAGCAGAGAAGCCCCUCCCCUUUCCAGAGAUGGAGAAGGAAGGGGGCAGAACACCCCAGACAAACUCUGGGCAGGCAUCAGUUGUGCUGUUGAGCUCUGAUGAACUGAGGGUUUUGGUUUGUCUGUUUUUCUUCUUUGCAUUCUUAUAAGAGGUGGGUUUGGGGGGGGACAAGGGAAAUGGAGGGAUGGAAGAAGCUUGAAGACAAAGAGAAUUUUUCAAGUGUCAAUCCUCCAAGGUAGAGAGGACGGCGCCCUGUUUGAGUCACUCUUCACUCUGCCUCUCUUCUGCCUUGGGAACCAAUGCACAGAAGGAAAAUAGAGCUUGUUUGUUUAUUGGGGAGAGGGAGGGAGAGAGGGAGGGAGGAAAGAGGAAGGGAAGAGGAGAGGGAGGGAGGGAGAGAGAGGAAAAAAGAGAGGAAGGGGAAGGGGAGGGAGGGAAAAAGGAAGAAGGGAGGUUGGAAGGAAAGCAGGGAGGAAAAAGGGGAGGGAGGGAGGGAAGGAAGAAGAGAGGAAGGGGAGGAGAGAGGAGGAGGUAAGGAGGAAGAGAAGGGAAGAAGGAAGGGAAGGAAGGGAGGAAGGAAGGAAGAAGGAAGGGAAGGGAGGGAGGAAGUAGAGAGGGAAGGAGGGAAGGGAAAGAGGGAGGAAGGAA
rnacentral:lncRNA from 1 species